rnacentral:rRNA from 1 species
UACGGAGGGUGCAAACGUUGCUCGGAAUCAUUGGGCGUAAAGCGCACGUAGGCGGCUCGUUAAGUCGGAUGUGAAAGCCCCGGGCUCAACUCGGGAAGUGCAUUCGAAACUGGCGAGCUUGAAUAUGGAAGAGGGUCGCGGAAUUCCCGGUGUAGAGGUGAAAUUCGUAGAUAGUACGGGAGGAACACCAGUGGCGAAGGCGGCGACCUGGGCCAAUA